rnacentral:rRNA from 1 species
UCGAGGAUCAUUCGCAAUGCGCGAAAGCGUGACGAUGCGACGCUGCGUGGAGGAUGAAGGCCUUCGGGUUGUAAACUCCUGUCAUUCGGGAACAAUAGCGAGGCCGUGAACAACGGCUUUGAUUGAUAGUACCGGAAGAGGAAGCCACGGCUAACUCUGUGCCAGCAGCCGCGGUAAUACAGAGGUGGCAAGCGUUGUUCGGAUUUACUGGGCGUAAAGGGUGCGUAGGUGGUUUCGUGUGUCGGAUGUGAAAUCUCACUGCUUAACGGUGAAACUGCAUUCGAAACUACGAUUCUAGAGUACAGGAGAGGAGAGCGGAAUACUUGGUGUAGCGGUGGAAUGCGUUGAGAUCAAGUAGAACACCGGUGGCGUAGGCGGCUCUCUGGAAUGUCACUGACAC